rnacentral:tRNA from 1 species
GGAAGGGUGGUCUUGUGGUUAAGACACCAGACUCAAUAGACCUAGGUUCAAUUCCUGGCUCUGCCG